rnacentral:rRNA from 1 species
GACGAACGCUGGCGGCGUGCUUAACACAUGCAAGUCGAACGGAAAGGCCCUGCUUUUGUGGGGUGCUCGAGUGGCGAACGGGUGAGUAACACGUGAGUAACCUGCCCUUGACUUUGGGAUAACUUCAGGAAACUGGGGCUAAUACCGGAUAGGAGCUCCUGCUGCAUGGUGGUGGUUGGAAAGUUUCGGCGGUUGGGUAUGGACUCGCGGCUUAUCAGCUUGUUGGUGGGGUAGUGGCUGACCAAGGCUUUCACGGGUAGCCGGCCUGAGAGGGUGACCGGCCACAUUGGGACUGAGAUACGGCCCAGACUCCUACGGGAGGCAGCAGUGGGGAAUAUUGCACAAUGGGCGGAAGCCUGAUGCAGCAACGCCGCGUGCGGGAUGACGGCCUUCGGGUUGUAAACCGCUUUCGCCUGUGACGAAGCGUGAGUGACGGUAAUGGGUAAAGAAGCACCGGCUAACUACGUG